GAUGAACGCUGGCGGCGUGCCUAAUACAUGCAAGUCGAGCGAACAGAUAAGGAGCUUGCUCCUUUGACGUUAGCGGCGGACGGGUGAGUAACACGUGGGUAACCUACCUAUAAGACUGGAAUAACUCCGGGAAACCGGGGCUAAUGCCGGAUAACAUUUAGAACCGCAAGGUUCUAAAGUGAAAGAUGGUUUUGCUAUCACUUAUAGAUGGACCCGCGCCGUAUUAGCUAGUUGGUAAGGUAACGGCUUACCAAGGCAACGAUACGUAGCCGACCUGAGAGGGUGAUCGGCCACACUGGAACUGAGACACGGUCCAGACUCCUACGGGAGGCAGCAGUAGGGAAUCUUCCGCAAUGGGCGAAAGCCUGACGGAGCAACGCCGCGUGAGUGAUGAAGGUCUUCGGAUCGUAAAACUCUGUUAUUAGGGAAGAACAAAUGUGUAAGUAACUGUGCACGUCUUGACGGUACCUAAUCAGAAAGCCACGGCUAACUACGUG
rnacentral:rRNA from 1 species